rnacentral:rRNA from 1 species
ACAGAGGGGGCAAGCGUUGCUCGGAAUCACUGGGCGUAAAGCGCACGCAGGCGGAUCGUUAAGUCGGGGGUGAAAGCCCGAGGCUCAACCUCGGAACUGCCUUCGAUACUGGCGAUCUUGAGUCCGGGAGAGGUGAGUGGAACUCCGAGUGUAGAGGUGAAAUUCGUAGAUAUUCGGAAGAACACCAGUGGCGAAGGCGGCUCACUGGCCCGGUACUGACGCUGAGGUGCGAAAGCGUGGGGAGCAAACAGGA